UACGAAGGGGGCUAGCGUUGUUCGGAAUCACUGGGCGUAAAGCGCACGCAGGCGGAUCGUUAAGUCAGGGGUGAAAUCCCGAGGCUCAACCUCGGAACUGCCUUUGAUACUGGCGAUCUUCGAGUCCGGGAGAGGUGAGUGGAACUCCGAGUGUAGAGGUGAAAUUCGUAGAUAUUCGGAAGAACACCAGUGGCGAAGGCGGCUCACUGGCCCGGUACUGACGCUCAAGUGCGAAAGCGUGGGGAGCAAACAGG
rnacentral:rRNA from 1 species